AGUGCGAACGAUUUUCUGACUGAACCCCGAUCGGCCUACCGUGUGUGUGGUGCCCUCGCUCGCCAUCUUGGAAACUCUCGUCCAUCCGAGAAAAAGGUCGUUUUGGUAAAAGUUUUUGGCUGCCCGUUUUUCGUGUUCCGGAUACGGCCCCCGCAGGGCUUUGCUAGGUGCGGUCGCUGCCUCUGAUUACGCGAAACGGUUUUUUCGAUCGAAUUGGCCGGUAGCGGAUGUGGUUUGGCUGUUUUGCGGAGUCGCGUUUCGCAUAAAUCCUUUCGACGAAAACCUUUUUGGAAAAGAUAGUUGCGUUUUCGUGUUCGAUUGCGAUUGUGUCAGUGCGGAGAAAAAAAAAUUGCUUGCUCGUGUGGCCACGAAAAAGUGCUUCCGGUCGUCGGUUGUUGAAGGUUUUCUCGAUUUUUUUCGGUACAAAAUUUGAAGCCGCCGGGAGAGUGAUUCUGGUGCAAUUGGAUUCCGGAUUAAGGGGUGAAAAAGAAUUCAAGUGUGCGAGAAUCGGUGCAUCACGGUUAGGUGCAAUAUUUGAGCGAAGGUCUUGAAGCCGUCGUCCAGGUCAACGAAUUGGACGGGGACCUAUGCCGGUGGAGGGAUUCCGAUUCGCAGCAGCCGGUGGUCCCAUUUGAGGUUGUUCCGCGAUCUGGCCUCUGCGACCAGUAGUAGCAGCAGCAGUAGCAACAACAAAACUGAAAGCCCAUACGACAACCGGAUCCAGAACAGCUUGGCAAUUACCAUCCAGGGCCAAAAGAAGCGCCAGGUCCGGAAGAAGGAAGGUAAGGCGGCCACCAACACCAACCGGAAGGAGGACCAAACAGGGCUAAGCAGAGUAAGAGCAGGGGGAGCCGGUGGCCACAGAUCCAGCGGCGACAGCGAGGACGGAAUGACAUUGCCAAGCAGUGCCCGGGUCUAUGCGGACGUCAAUUCGCACAAGCCGCGGGAUUACUGGGAUUACGAGAACUACAUCGUGGAUUGGGCCAACCAGGAUGACUACCAGCUGGUACGGAAGCUGGGCCGGGGCAAGUACAGCGAGGUCUUCGAAGCCGUCAAGAUCACCAGCAGUGAAAAGUGUGUGGUCAAGAUCUUGAAACCGGUCAAGAAGAAGAAAAUCAAACGAGAGAUCAAGAUCCUGGAAAAUCUGCGCGGUGGCACCAAUAUCAUUACCCUGCUAGCUGUCGUCAAAGAUCCGGUCUCCCGGACACCGGCCCUCAUCUUCGAGCACGUCAACAAUACGGACUUCAAACAGCUGUACCAGACGCUGACCGAUUACGACAUCCGGUACUAUCUGUAUGAACUGUUGAAAGCCCUCGAUUAUUGCCACAGCAUGGGAAUCAUGCAUCGUGACGUCAAACCUCACAACGUCAUGAUUGACCACGAAAACCGCAAGCUGCGUCUGAUCGAUUGGGGUCUAGCCGAAUUUUAUCACCCGGGUCAGGAAUACAACGUUCGAGUUGCCAGUCGUUACUUCAAGGGUCCGGAACUGCUAGUCGACUACCAGAUGUACGACUACUCGCUAGACAUGUGGUCGCUCGGUUGUAUGCUCGCCUCCAUGAUCUUCCGGAAGGAACCGUUUUUCCACGGCCACGACAACUACGAUCAGCUGGUUCGGAUUGCCAAGGUCCUCGGCACCGAAGACCUGUUCGCCUAUCUCGACAAGUACAACAUCGAGCUAGAUCCCCGCUUCAACGAUAUCCUGUCCCGCCACUCGCGGAAACGAUGGGAACGUUUCGUCCACUCCGAGAACCAACAUCUGGUUUCGCCGGAAGCGCUCGAUUUCCUAGACAAAUUGCUCCGUUACGAUCACUACGAGCGGCUCACGGCACGAGAAGCCAUGGAUCAUCCCUACUUUGCGAUCAUCGUCAACGGCCAGAUGCCGCCGCCGUCCUCCUCGGCCAAGGACAGCAAUCAAUAAUAACAAACAACUACAACUGCUACUGUAUUGUAACCACCAUCAAGAAGAAAAACAUAAGAACUACAAUAAAAAAAACUCAUAUAACACUAAAAUUAAACAGCAAAAAAUGGUAACUAUCAACAUUUAUUUUCUACCAACACAAAAUUAUUGUUAAACAACAACAAAAAAAAUCCUUAGCAAAGGUUUUGAUGUAGUGUUUGAAGAAGACGGCCAUCCGGAAUCGCUGGGCGCCCUUGAAAGUUUUUGCAUUUUUGUCCCCGGCGUUGAAACACUCGACCGGCAGCAGUUGGUUCUCCAAUCUUCUUUUUAAAACAAAAAAAAAACAAAUUAGAUAACAUAUUAGGCAAAAAUGUUUAAAAGAUACCACGGUCCACAACUUUCGAUCGAAGUUACUACACCAAAUCUGUUUAUAUGGUGGAAUGGCGUCAGACGAAACAGUCUUAUGUGCAAAUAUUGAACCGGGAAAAACCAGCAGGGCUAAUCUUAAUUGCGUUCUGCAGCUGACACAGUGGCAAUAGUGAGUGAGCCACUUCGGGAAACUACCCUCUUCUGAGAUACACCCACACGAAGGAAAACAGCUCCGCAAAACCAAACCCUUCUACUUUUUGUCCGGAUUGAUCAACCUACGAUGAACAAACGAAAGCCCAGAAUGUCCAGAAUAACGCGCCUGUAAAGACAAUGAUACCUAUUGUUCAGUGUAGAACACUGAUUCAAACCCAUAUACCCUACUUUUUAUCCAACACAAAUUAUCCUUCUGUUAGUUUUAAACGAUACCGCGUUGUGGAACCUGUUUAAAAUAUUAAACAUGAAACGAAUCCUUUCCUAUAUCUCUCCGCAAGUACAACUUAAGCCCAUCAUCCGCAUCAAAACAAGAGCCAUAAAAUGCGCGCCAGUCAUGCAGCUAGGAUCCAUUUAUGAGAAGAUGCACCUAAUGAUGCAUUACAGAGUAGGAACAUGUUGAAUGGAAUACUGAAGACACCGGGAAAACCUAUACAUAUUUUACGUUUACUUUUUCGCUCAUCUGAUCUGUUCAGGUGUCCGAUGCCAGGUCGCAACCAGUCUCAUUACUAUUCCCAUCUAACAGUUAACAGAAAUCUUAUUUAAUUUCAAACUCAAUAAAUUGCAUAUUAGUUUAAGCUGAUGAUAAAACAAAACUAAGAACUAAACAAUUAUCCUUAUCUUAAAAGCCCUCUCCCAAACAAACAGAUGAACAACUGAUAUCCAGAAGCAUGUGAAGCUACCCCCAAUCUUUGUUUACGAGGAUAUAUUUUUUCAACAACCUCCCCCCUCCCCCCUGCUCCCUUUUUCGACCACGAUUAGUUAUUGUUGCGCAUAACAUGGAUUCGCAACAUAGAGGGUUUAAAAAAAAUAAAAAAAAGGGAAAGAUUGUGAGAACAAGUAAAAUUGUUGAAAAUUCAAAAACAAGAACAUCAAGAAUGAAAAACUGAUAAUACAAUUGUAACUUAUAAAAAAAAUAAACAACAAACAAACACACUAGAGAAGCUGGCAAGUUUUAUCAAACAAAAACAACAACAAAAAACAGCUUCAAACGUUUUUCAAUUGAGCUUUUAAUGAUAGGAAGCAAAAGCAACUUUUUCCACAAUUCCAAUGCUUAUGAAAUGAACAAAGAAUUAUAUUGAAAAGCAAAUAAUCGCAAAACCCUAAACUAUCAACCAAUACCAACCAAAUUAACAUGCAAAACAAAAAAAGAACUGCGAAGCGUUGAAAAAAAAACAACAACAAUUGACAAGGCCAAGAAAACACCAGACUGGCAGCGAAUAGUCUAGCGAUAUGAGAUGAGACCAGAGGAGGAAGCAAACGAUAAAAGAAGUGAAAACAAGAGGAGAGGAAAAUGAUGCAAGCAAAAAAAAAAGAAA